AUCACAAUUGGACAAAUCAGCGGAGACAAAGGGCACUGCAGACCACUAGCGCACCCCGCAUGCCCUGCCAGAGGCUGGGAGGGGCCCGCGCCUCCCACAUGAGCUCUUACACGUAGGCGGGCGCCGGAGCAACACCCCCACAGAAUGAACCCCGCCUGGGAGACGAGGGCGGGGGCCCGGGGCUGCGGUACUGUGGUGCUGCGCCCGAGCACGUACCGGGGCGGGGCCUGCAGGGGGGAAGGCGGGGUUUGGGGAAGUUUCUCCCAGCGGCUUGUGUUUCGCAUCCUAACCAUGUAGUACCAGCGGCACCAGGGAUAGAAGGGGGUGGCCGGUCCCUUCCGCCUGUUAUUUUCCCCGACGAGGGGUCUGUCUGAUCAGUGCUGCUCUCAGGCACCUGUCUUUCCUCUCCGUCCCGGAUCAUGGAGCCGAGAAAAGGGAAUAAAAGAAAUUAAAUAGUACAAGGAGAUCGGGUGUCUGGGCAGCUUCUUGGAUAAAACCGUCCACUACAGUUCACAGGAAACACAAAGUAUAAAAUUAAAAAGCAGAAGAGAGCUGCGACUGGCAAGGUCAAAAGUGGCCAGAGCAUGUAGUGAGAGUUGGUGAACAUGAAAGAUCUCCAGAGUACUAAUGAGUGUAAACUCAAGCUCAUCUACCUGAGCUUAAUCUACAUUCUGCUAUGCUAUUUACUAACCAAGUAAUCUUGGGACUAUUACACUUUUGUAAAACAACUCACCAGCAUCCAGAAGUUUCCUUACACGCAAAUAGCUGAUGGUCAGCCUCAUAACAGAAGCC